AUUAUUAUAAGUAAUGUAAAUAUGAAUGAAUGGUAAGACGAUUGGUUAUGUAUGCGGUUGUAACUGGAUGUGAAGUUGCAUCACGUCCUUUGAUGAAUGUGUAAAGGUUUAGAAAUAUAGUUGAUAAGUGUAGCUAUUUUACUGUAUAAUAUUAUCAUCAUUCUUGAAACUAAUAUUAGUUUCAAGAAUGUUAAUCAGGCAUUCAGGAAGUGAUACUUACAAUUAACAUAGGGUUUUAUCAGCCAUUUUAACGUUCAUAGUAUAGAUCAAUACAUGUUUCAUACAUUGACGACUUUAUAAUAAGAGUUCAUCAAAAAAAUGUCCGCUGUGCCUAUCUAAAGUUCAAUAAUAACAUGAUACUGAAGUUAGGGAAAUAUUUUAACCUUUAAUAUUUCCUUUUCUUAUUCAAUGUAAUCGAAGUAUUUAAAGUUUAAUCGAUAACCACAUCUACGGAGACUUUUCUUCAUAUAUCUUGAUGCUUUAUAAACAUUAUUAGUACAUAUUAAAUAUUAUUUCACGAUUCUCCUUUCGAAUAUGAUAUUUUUAGACUAUUUUGUUACAAUAUUAUUUUUACAUACAUUGUUGAAAAUUAUAUUCCUGUCGCAUUAACACUACCUUGGCAAAGUGUUUACAAUCAAAUGUCAAAAUGUAUAACCUCACUCAUGUUAAACAUUCAAGUUAUGUCAAAAUUCAAAAUGUAUAAUUUGUAUCUAAUACUUAUUUUAUACAACAUAGGUUUAAAAAACUUAAGUAAUUACAGAUUACACUCUGUUAUAAUAUACCUAUACCUUGACAUAUAUCACUUGACAGCAUCCCUCGUUUCACAUUGGGGGUCAAACUUUUGAGCACUGUAGUAUCUUCUUCCUUAGUUAAGUGCCAAACUGUAAUUAAAUAAAAAAUCAAGUAUUAAGAUUUAAGACUACCUUAACAUUCCAAUUUUGUUGUUUAUGUUUCAAUUUUUUUUAUUUAGUUCGAGUUUAUUUUAAUGGAUAUUUGAUAAAGAUAUUAGUACUAUUUAAGCAUGUACUUAUGAAUAACAUAAAAUUAAGUUACCAGUAUAUUUAAGAAAAUAUUUAAUAAGGCCUGGCCGGGGAUGUGGAAUGGAGUAUAAUGAAGUUAGGAAUUUGUGCAGCAUAAAUAAAAAAAAUAUAAAUUAAGUGCUUAGUUGUGAAAGAUAUAUAGCUUCAUCGACAUAGUUUAAUGUUUUCGCAUUUUUUAAUAAUGUUUGUAAAUUUCUUUCUGCUUUAAUCUUGUUGCGAAAAAGACUCGCACCACAAGCUUUUAUUUAAUGUGGAGCCAGUAACUUCAAUGGAGAUAUAGUAAUGACAGAAAAUACCCUUUUUAGUUUUUUUUUUUUAGUACAAAGACGAAAGGAUCACAAAUACAUAGGUAUGUACAGUUAUUUUAAUAAAUAAGUCUGCGUUUUGUUUUUGUUAGUAGAUAGAAUAAUAGAAUUUAUUGGGAAGGCCUACUUUCAAUAUUUUAUGUAUUUACUUACUUUAUGUAUGACAAAAUAUUUCUCAAUUAACUCGAAAUAACUACUUAUAUAAGUAUUUGUAAGAUGAUCCUGAAUACUCACAUUAAUUUAGUUUUCUAUAAUAAAUAUUAAGUUGUGUUUUAGUUUUUGCAUAAUAUAUUGUGCAUUUAUAAGUACUUACCUACUAUAUUCAAAAUUAUUCAAUAAUAAAUGAAUAAAUAAGUAAGUAAAUCUAUCGACACUGCACAGUUUUGACAAUUAUAGAUCAUUGUUUAAAAAUAUAAUAUAAUUGUAAUGUAAUAUUAUCAUAACAAAAAAUAUAGAUAAGUAAUAAUAAUGAUGUUCCUGUGGGAAAUUUAAAAUACUGUUUUGUAAAAAAAACGUAUCGAUUUAUUAGCGGCCUAUUUUUUUUAAAUAAAAAACACAUUCCAAUUUGAUAUUUUUAGAUAAGUUAGCUCAAGUAUACAUAUACGCAACAACUUUAACAACAGCUACAAAUAAGUAUUUUCUGUUAUGUUUUUAACAUAUUCUACAUCCUAUCCUAUUGAUGUUAUAAACGUGAAAGUUUGUGAAAAUGGAAGAAUAAUUCAAAUAAAUUCUCAUAAGCACGAAGUCGCAGUGCACAGCUAGUUACGGAUAUAUAUUAACAUACAAAAACUGUAAAGGAUGGGCACUUUAUGAGUUUUGAUAAAGAGCACUUUUCACAAAACAUCUUUUUGUAUUUUUUUUAAAACCAAAUCGGUAUGUACUUAUAAUUUAAAAUUAAACUUUUAAAAUGUCAUCUUGACUGCCCUAGUCAUAUUUUGUUGAAAUGUUUUAUAUAUAUAUAUACAUAAAUAAAUAAGUUUGUUUUUGUUUAUUAUUAUUAUAAUAAAUGAGUGAUUUUAUUUUAGUGAGACAAACUUUGGUGAAUAAAAGACAAUUCAAUUACAUUUCUCAUUUCUUUUAUUUAAUACAAAAAUAUCACAUCCCAAAACCUAUAUGGAAAAAGUGCAAAAAAUAUAUUUCAGAUCAGGUGUCAGGUACUCAAAAAUAUGUAACCUACCUCCCACAUGCACUUAUCUGUCAUUGUCAAAAUAUUUUUUUUGAUCAAGCAAGUUUCACACACACUGUAACAGUAUUGAAAUUUUAUACCACCAAUAUCAUGGAUUUAGUAAAUACACCGUACCAAAUGUUCCACAGCACGCGAGAUUUUUUUACAUAAAUAAAGUAGAAGGAACCUAGGAAUAAACUGAUUGGCGUUAGAACCUAAGAAGUAAUAGGUAUUUAAUAUAUUGGCCAUAUUUCUGAUACAGUGAACUUGAUUCGCCCACGUGUGCUAUUGUGAUUCGAUAGCCAACAAACGACUGUGGCCAUUAGAUUCAGCACGUCCGAACCUAGAGGACUACAGAACACUAACAGGCAACAUUCAGGUCAUGCAGACCUUCUUGAGAAUUCCCGUUUCGGAAGAAGAAGAAAUUUGAAGGAAGACAAUGAUGGUGGUCAAAAUGCUCAACAAUGCACACUACCACGUACCUACCCCGCGAGCUGUGGUGGUGGUAUGAUUGGUAAUAUAAUAUUUACAAGUUGUUGUUAAAUAAAACAAGAUAUCAAGAUA